rnacentral:rRNA from 1 species
AGUGAACGCUGGCGGUAGGCCUAACACAUGCAAGUCGAACGGCAGCACAGUAAGAGCUUGCUCUUACGGGUGGCGAGUGGCGGACGGGUGAGGAAUACAUCGGAAUCUACUUUUUCGUGGGGGAUAACGUAGGGAAACUUACGCUAAUACCUCAUACGACCUACGGGUGAAAUCAGGAGAUCUUCGGACCUUGCGCGUUUGAAUGAGCCGAUGUCGGAUUAGCUAGUUGGCGGGGUAAAGGCCCACCAAGGCGACGAUCCGUAGCUGGUCUGAGAGGAUGAUCAGCCACACUGGAACUGAGACACGGUCCAGACUCCUACGGGAGGCAGCAGUGGGGAAUAUUGGACAAUGGGCGCAAGCCUGAUCCAGCAAUACCGCGUGGGUGAAGAAGGCCUUCGGGUUGUAAAGCCCUUUUGUUGGGAAAGAAAAGCAGCAGGUUAAUACCCCGCUGUUCUGACGGUACCCAAAGAAUAAGCACCGGCUAACUUCGUG